UACGAAGGGGGCUAGCGUUGCUCGGAAUGACUGGGCGUAAAGGGCGCGUAGGCGGUUCGUACAGUCAGGCGUGAAAUUCCCGGGCUUAACCUGGGGGCUGCGUUUGAUACGUGCGGGCUUGAGUUCGGAAGAGGGUCGUGGAAUUCCCAGUGUAGAGGUGAAAUUCGUAGAUAUUGGGAAGAACACCGGUGGCGAAGGCGGCGCGCUGGACCACAACUGACGCUGAGGCGCGAAAGCUAGGGGAGCAAACAGG
rnacentral:rRNA from 1 species